UUCCAGUGGUUUCUCUUCAGAUCGCAUAAAUCUUUCGCCUUUUACUAAAGAUUUCCGUGGAGAGGAACACUCUGUGUUUUUUGAAUGGAUAAUUUAGUCCAUUUACAUUUAAAUUA